rnacentral:rRNA from 1 species
GUCGAGGGGUAACAGGGAGUGCUUGCACUCUGCUGACGACCGGCGCACGGGUGAGUAACGCGUAUACAAUCUACCUUGUACUAGGGGAUAGCCUUUAGAAAUGAAGAUUAAUACCCUAUGGUAUGUAUUUGUGGCAUCACAGAUACAUUAAAGGUUACGGUAUAAGAUGAGUAUGCGUCCUAUUAGUUUGUUGGUAAGGUAACGGCUUACCAAGACUACGAUAGGUAGGGGCCCUGAGAGGGGGAUCCCCCACACUGGUACUGAGACACGGACCAGACUCCUACGGGAGGCAGCAGUGAGGAAUAUUGGACAAUGGGCGAGAGCCUGAUCCAGCCAUGCCGCGUGCAGGAAGACGGCCCUAUGGGUUGUAAACUGCUUUUAUACAGGAAGAAACACUCCCUCGUGAGGGAGCUUGACGGUACUGUAAGAAUAAGGACCGGCUAACUCCGUGCCAGCAGCCGCGGUAAUACGGAGGGUCCGAGCGUUAUCCGGAAUUAUUGGGUUUAAAGGGUCCGUAGGCGGGCAGCUAAGUCAGUGGUGAAAGUCUGCAGCUCAACUGUAGAAUUGCCAUUGAUACUGGUUGUCUUGAAUUAUUAUGAAGUGGUUAGAAUAUGUAGUGUAGCGGUGAAAUGCAUAGAUAUUACAUAGAAUACCAAUUGCGAA